CCUACGGGUGACUGCAGUGAGGAAUAUUGGUCAAUGGGCGGAAGCCUGAACCAGCCAAGUCGCGUGAGGGAAUAAGGUCCUACGGGUUGUAAACCUCUUUUGCCGGGGAGCAAGGGCGGGGACGUGUACCGGCCCGGAGAGUAUUCGGAGAAAAAGCAUCGGCCAACUCCGGGCCAGCAGCGGCGGUAAUACGGAGGAUGCGAGCGUUAUCCGGAUUUAUUGGGUUUAAAGGGUGCGUAGGCGGGCUUUUAAGUCAGCGGUAAAAGUUCGGGGCUCAACCCCGUCCGGCCGUUGAAACUGGGGGCCUUGAGAGGGCGAGAGGAAUGCGGAAUGCGUGGUGUAGCGGUGAAAUGCAUAGAUAUCACGCAGAACCCCGAUUGCGAAGGCAGCCUUCCGGCGCCCUACUGACGCUGAGGCACGAAAGUGCGGGGAUCGAACAGGAUUAGAUACCCUAGUAGUC
rnacentral:rRNA from 1 species